CCUACGGGUGGCAGCAGUGAGGAAUAUUGGUCAAUGGACGAGAGUCUGAACCAGCCAAGUAGCGUGAAGGAUGACUGCCCUAUGGGUUGUAAACUUCUUUUAUAUGGGAAUAAAAUGUUCCACGUGUGGGAUUUUGUAUGUACCAUAUGAAUAAGGAUCGGCUAACUCCGUGCCAGCAGCCGCGGUAAUACGGGGGAUCCGAGCGUUAUCCGGAUUUAUUGGGUUUAAAGGGAGCGUAGGUGGAUUGUUAAGUCAGUUGUGAAAGUUUGCGGCUCAACCGUAAAAUUGCAGUUGAAACUGGCAGUCUUGAGUACAGUGGAGGUGGGCGGAAUUCGUGGUGUAGCGGUGAAAUGCUUAGAUAUCACGAAGAACUCCGAUUGCGAAGGCAGUUCACUGGACUGCAACUGACACUGAGGCUCGAAAGUGUGGGUAUCAAACAGGAUUAGAUACCCGUGUAGUC
rnacentral:rRNA from 1 species